CCGGAGGGGAAGGAGUGUAAGUUAAGUCGCAAGAACCACACUUCGCUCGCUCACACCCUUCCUGGCGGCACAUUUCUGACUGGCUGACUGAAGCAAGUUUUGGUAUUUUUCACUCAUCACCAUUUUCCUCUUGCUCCUUCUCCCCCUCCUCCUCAUCAUCAUCAUCAUCUUCAGCCUCUACUAGUUCACUGCAGCACAUAAGCUAGUAUUUUUAACCCGGUAGCAGCGGGGAUCAUGCUUCUUAAUGGUCCCUCCAAGCGAGAAAAAUGAGAAAAAAUCAUCCCUCACACAAACCAUUCCAUAAUAUAUAUCAAUGCAUUUGUGAUCAACUUAUGUAUCAUCUAUUUUGGGGGGUUUAUAUCAUGGCACAAAUUUGGCCCAUCGCUGCUACACGGUAAAGACACAAAUUUGGCCCGUCGCUGCUACACGGUAAAGACACAAAUUUGGCCCGUCGCUGCUACACGGUAAAGACACAAAUUUGGCCCGUCGCUGCUACACGGUAAAGACACAAAUUUGGCCCGUCGCUGGUACCGGGUUAAACAUGUCAUCACCUCAGUUCCCGUUUGAAAAGCCCCCCUCAUGGAAUUUGCCGAGAUUUUCAUGAACCGUUUUGUGAUGGCAGUGAUGGUUUUACACGACCUCUGCACCUUGAACGGAAAAACCAGCCAUGAAGACCCAGUUAAUCUUCUCUGUGGUGUGGCCUUGAGAAAUGGUCGUGAUGGUAGUCUGAUACGUCUUAGAAUAUGGACCAAGGACCUUUCCCAACAUCCUCCACCUCUCUCUGUCUAUAGUGAAACCAAAUUGUCGAGUCUGUCUGGGCGUUGGCUCCUGCAGGUCCAUUUCUCCCCUCUGCUCUGCCACACAGUCCCAACACCUAUUUUUUCCUCUCAUAUGUUACCUAUAGCUUACAUAUGAGAGGAAGAGAUAGGUGUUGGGACUGUGUGGCAGAGCAGAGGGGAGGAAUGGACCCGUGGGAGCCUACGCCAGACUGGCCUCGACACAUUUGAAAGACUAUAGUGUUACUGUGGUCCGUCCCACUCCGGUAAAUGCUCUAGUGCCAUCUCUCCCCCUGGCUCAAUGUCUGCUCUGACCUCUAUAAUAACUUGCCUGCCACUCUGUUACUUGGGUUGCCAUCUGUUAUCAGCAGCGAUUAGUGGGCUUUUUUUUCCACACUUUCUUUUUGUUGCCCUUGAGUUGCUUCCUGUAAUAAAAAAUAAAAAAUAAAAAAAAAUAAAAAUAAAUAAAACAGUAUCUGCCUGGUGUGGCCUAAGUCCCCUUCCUGUUCUCAGCCCCUACUCCAUGAUGCAAACUUCCCAUCUCUCCAAGUUAGGCUGAGCUUAUUUUUUUCUUCAUUCUUCUUUGUGAGUUUUUUUUAUUCCUUUACAGACUUUUUAGUGAGGUGUCAAGUCUCUCGUAGGACUGUGAGUGUACCCUGACGGCCCUCACUUACAGGAGCGCGGUGGGGUGCUGGGUGUUCGCGGCUCACCUUUCCUUAGACAGAGACAACCUAAACCCUGCUGAUAACCACAUGAGUAAAAGGAAUUUGUCUAAGCAGAUGCUGCCCUGGAGGGUGAGUGGAGGCAGGGCUCAGGCUACACCUUGCACGGCCUAAGCCACAGGCGAGUGUAAGCCGGCUUGUUACAACGCCACAGUGAUGCACGGCCAUGAAUGGAGGGAAUGAGGUGUGUUGCUUCCAUGAAAUUAUGUUAAACAAGUGUCUUCAUCUCCUGUGGGGGGUGGGGGUCAGGCAGGAAUGAGGUGUGUUGCUUCCAUGAAAUUAUGUUAAACAAGUGUCUUCAUCUCCUGUGGGGGGUGGGGGUCAGGCAGGAAUGAGGUGUGUUGCUUCCAUGAAAUUAUGUUAAACAAGUGUCUUCAUCUCCUGUGGGGGGCGGGGGUCAGGCAGGAAUGAGGUGUGUUGCUGCCAUGAAAUUAUGUUAAACAAGUGUCUUCAUCUCCUGUGGGGGGGUGGGGGUCAGGCAGAGGCAGAGGGUCACUAACUUGAACAAUCCUUGACUCACAAAACGUGGCGGCAAGCUUGCUGCAGGAAUCAUCACAUCAGCACUCAUGUAAAAGUUAAAAGUUAAAAGAGGCUAAGUGUUUAACUGGUGGAAAAAAUUAGAAAGUUAUCCACAUGCUGUCCAGACCACUAAUGAAGCCUAACUUAACCCCUUGGCUGCGGAUUUCCUACAGUCAGACCUCACCAAGCUACAGGAAUGGAACAAAAAGUGGCUGCUAAAAUUCAAUGAAGAAAAAUGUAAAGUCCUGCACAUUGCGAGGGAAAAUCUAGCAUACCAAUGCAAUACCACGUGGGAAACACUCCACUAUCCACCACAGAGGCAGAGAAAGACCUGGGAUUAUUUGUUACCAGUCUACCAAUGAAGACCAAAUCCAUGCCAAUCGCAGAGGACGGGUUAACUGGUGGAAAAAGCUAGAGAGUCACCCACAUGCUGUCCAAUCAUUAAUGAAACCUAACUUGAGUGACUGUGGCCAAGAAGAGCACUGGAGGGCAGCACAGGUCAAGCAAGACUCAUACAGCCUGGCAGCAACUCUUAACCCGGUAGCAGCGGGGAUCAUGUUUCUUAAUGGUCCCUCCAAGUGAGAAAAAUGAGAAAAAAUCACCCCUCACACAAACCAUUUCAUAAUAUAUAUCAAAGCAUUUGUGAUCAGAUUAUGUAUCAUCUAUUUUGGGGGGUUGAUAUCAUGGCACAAAUUCAGCCCGUCGCUGCUACACGGUAAAGCCACGAAUUUGGCCCGUCGCUGCUACCUGGUUAAGUACAAUAUUCCUGUGCCGCUCAAGGCCUCGGGACAAUCACCACUCGCCUCAAAGUACCCAACCGAUGCUGUGGGCUUCACAUCAACACAAGGACACACAAGGCUGAGGAGACUACAUGAGGCCAGACAGACGGCCCACACACGGCAGCUCCAGAGGAAGGGUUAGUCACCACAUUCCCUUCCCGUUCAUAGGUACAUUUGACCUCCAUUAAAAACAUUCAGCUGUUUGCCUCAACUACACGCCUGCUUGGUUUGUUCCACCAAAAAAUAAGAAAAAUGUCAGCAAACACAACUGACAACCUUUCCCUGUAUUGGUCCAUCCACUGAGGGCCACCAUUAGUAACAUGCAGCUCCCUGGAACUUGCAGAGGAAAUACCAAUGCUUGAAGGCUUUAAUGAGGCUGAAAUUAACCCUUAGAUGGUGGUAGAACUCUAUAUAGAUGGUCCAAACUUUAGUCAGUCAGUUUUGUAUGGCAGAAAUAUAACAACACUUCCAGACUGCAGUAGAAUUUAUAUACAGACUUUAGUUAAAACAUCCAUUAUGUGGCGUAACUAUAUUUUUGCUACGGUCCUAAGGUCGGCAGUGACUAUAUAUUGACCAUUCAUUUUGGGGGCAGCUGCUCUUCAAAUACUGCCGCCGUCUAAAGGCUAAUAAGUGUCCGUGGUAAGAGCGCCGGACAGGACACGGAGUGAUGGGUUAAGUGGGACAGAUUCAGAUUCAACAAAGGCAGAGGCAAGAAUUGGCUUACUAAUAGAGUGGUGGAUGAGUGGAGCAGGCCUGGCUGUGGGGAGCGCCAAUACAAUACAUGCCUCCACCCGAAAUUGACCUCUCUUUUGGCUACUCUUUAUUUUUGUCUAUUAAGGGAGCGGCGAGUAACAUUUUUUUUUCACACUUUUUGUUGCCCUUGAGCCCUCGCCUUUCAUUGGGGGGAGGGUUUAGAUAAGCUCAUGGGAGGCGAUUAAGGUGGGUCAGGUUUACAGGAGCUGCCUUGUACAGGACUACCGGCCUCCUGCACACUCCCUAUGCUUUUAUGGCUGUCUAGUUAUUUAGGACUCUGCAAUAACAGAAUUACAAGCCAUGCAGUGUCAUUCCAUGCUCACCACACACACACACACACACACAGCAGAGGCCAGGCACAACCAACACCAAGAGGUAACAAUAUC